rnacentral:lncRNA from 1 species
ACUGUGGUAAAGAAGCAACUACUGGGUGUGCUUCAAUAUGUGGUGUUGAAGUGGGUGCAAACGCUCUUGUUAACAGCCUGAGGUGGAAGGUAUCAGAGCAGCAGUGGCAGAGCUUUGAAGAUACAUGGCUGGGACCUGGAUGUACCUUAACAGAAGUCUGUCUGUGUUAUGGACCGAUAAUGGGGAAACGAAGUACUCUAUGGCAAACCAUAUUGAGCAAAAGCUUUCUUACCUCUGCUCUGGGAAGUAGUCCCACACCUCCUGGAAGCUAUGGGAAAAUGAUUUCUGCUAUCAAAUAUAGUUGGUUGAAGCACCUUCAUGGCCAUGCCUGUCAGUAGGGUGAGGGAGCAUUUGCAUCUACUCUAAUGGGAAGCACCUGCAAAGUUACAUGGCAAGAGACGUGGAUUACAUGUUUGUUACUGGAAGAGAUAAAAGAAUUUGGAACGGUAAAUGUUUCUCAGGUGGCUUCUCAAGAACUUUAUGAAUAGAGGCAAGACAGGAUGGUGCAAGAGGUUCAUUGAAAAUAGAGGGCCUCCACCCUGGCUGUAUUAUCACCUAUUUUAGUUUCUUAUGGCUGCCAAACAAAGUGCCAUGAACUGUGUGGCCUAAACAACAAAGUUACUGUCUCACAGUUCGGGAGGCCGGAAGUCCAAAAUCAAGGUGUCCGUAGGGCCAUGCGCCCUCUGAAUGCUUCCUUGACUCCUCCUGGCUUCUGAUGGUUUGUUGGCAGUCGCUGACAUUCCUUGGCUUUUAGGUGCAUAAAUCCAGUCUGUCUUUGUCAUGUGGCAUUCUCCCUGUGUCUGUCUUCAUGUGGCCAUCAUCUUACAAGGAUGCCACUCACAUUGGAUUAGGGACCCACCCUGCUCCAGUAUGACCCAAUCUUAAUUAAUUCUAUCUGAAAUAACUCUAUUGCAAAUAAGGUCAAUUGUAAGGUACCCAGAGAUAGGACUUCUACAUAUCUUUUUGACGUUAUUUUUUGUUGGAGGCACAACUCAAUCUAUAACUUUAUCAAUGUGAGAUUCUCAUGCCUAGCAGUGUGCCAAAUGUUAUAAAGAAAAUAAAGAUGUCAUUACAUCAUAACUUUUUCUGCUUAUUACCAAUAGACCUGAGCAAGUGAAUGUUUCUUUGUAUAUGUGGGUGAAGAAUUAUUUAUGUAUAUAUGUAUUCUCACUAAAAAUACAGAUUUUAAAAAAACAAUUGAAUCUACCUAAAUUUUUAUACUAAGGGAGUCUGAGAAGGGGAUACUUUAUUCCACAAAAAUGUUUUUUUUUUUUAAAGAUUGGCACCUGAGCUAACAUCUGUUGCCAAUCUUUUCUUCUGCUCCUCCCCAAAGCCCCAGAGUA